rnacentral:rRNA from 1 species
CAGUCGCCACGGUAAUACAGAGGGUGCAAGCGUUAAUCGGAAUUACUGGGCGUAAAGCGCGCGUAGGUGGUUUGUUAAGUUGGAUGUGAAAUCCCCGGGCUCAACCUGGGAACUGCAUCCAAAACUGGCAAGCUAGAGUAUGGUAGAGGGUGGUGGAAUUUCCUGUGUAGCGGUGAAAUGCGUAGAUAUAGGAAGGAACACCAGUGGCGAAGGCGACCACCUGGACUGAUACUGACACUGAGGUGCGAAAGCGUGGGGAGCAAACAGGAUUAGAUACCCCCGUAGUCCCUGUCUCUUAUAC